CUCUCUCUCUCUCUCUCUCUCUCUCUCUCUCUCUCUCUCUCUCAAAGUCUUAGGUGAUCCGAUAGCAAAUCAAGGUAAUCUAAUUCUUUCUUCCUUUGUGAUUUGCCUUCGAUUAUGUCUUCACGCUUUCUAGUUUCAAACGGAUGUGUUACUGGUACGGAUGUCAAAUGGGGACUGUCCAUGGGCAAUCCAUGUCCAAAUCAAUAUGGACUAAUAUGGACACGCCCAAAUCCACCUUUAAAAUGUUUUGUCUAAAUGGGCGACGCCCAAAUACACCCAUGGCCCAAAUGGGCAAAACCAUAUGGACAUGGCGGCCCAAAUAUUAAAAAUAUCUAGGGUUAAUGAAAUUGGAGAAAAUAAUAAUUUUAUUUCUGGCCUUCAGGGACUCAUGAUUCUCUCUAACUGCGUCAUAGUAAAGUCACGAGUUCUUCAAAGUAUUCUUCAUCUUCACCUCCUCAGAUAGAGAGAGAGAGAGAGAACAUUCGAGGUUUGAAAUUUGAUGGGUUUGCGAUUCUAGGUUUGAUGGGUCUAUCUCGAUUUAGGGAUUUUGGGUUUGAUGGGUUCGAUUGACUUGUAACUUGUGAUUCUCGGUUUGAACUUUGAUGGGUUUGCGAUUCUAGGUUUGAUGGGUCUCUCUCGAUUUAGGGAUUCUGGGUUUGAUGGGUUCGAUUGACUUGUAACUUGUGAUUCUAGGUCUGAAAUUUGAUGGGUUCGAUUGACUUGUAACUUGCAAUUCUAGGUUUGAACUUUGAUGGGUUCUUCAAGUUCGAUUGUUUGCUUUGGCUCGGUUUGAUGGGUUUUUUAAUGCUAAGCUUUGUUAUCAUCUUAUUUAUGCAGGCUUGUCACUCAACCAGUCCAGUAUACAUCCGUACAACGGUGCAAGCUUCAUUGCAAGCUAGAUUUGUUGCAAAGAUGGAUGACGAUGAUUUGAACCUAAAUGAUGAUGAUUAUAUUUGAGUGUUGAUGAGAUGAUGGAUAAGAAUGAAGAUGAUCAUGGUCCUAAUCAUGUACAAGAUAAUUCUACAAGUGCAAUGUUCUUUCAAUUUCCAUUAAAACUGUGUCUUCUGAGUCGUCAUUCAGUGUUGGAAGCCGUGUUAUUAGCAAGUAUGGGAGCCGACUUCUUCCAUCAAAUUUACAAGCUCUCAUUUGUACAAGAAAUUGGCUGCGUUGGUUUGAAGUGAUGUGUGAUUCUGAAGAAGAAGAAGAAGAAGAAGAAGAAAAAGAAGAAGUCAAUCAAGUUUAAUUCUAAAUUUAAUUAUCUUUUGUAAGACAUGAUGUUUAACUCUAAGUUUAAGUACCUUUAUGUAAAACAUGGAGUUUAAGUCUAAGUAUCUUUUGUAGAACAUGAAGUUUAAUUAAGUUAAAGAUGUUAUAUAUGAAAUUUAGAAUCUGUACAUCUUUUAAAUUGAAAAUUAAACUUUUUACAUUAAGUGGGCGUCUGGACCACAUGAGCAGUCCAACUGGUCAUGGUCUUAUUUGGACAUGGUCCUAUUUGGGCUUUGACCAAAAACGCUCCAAAAAAAUAAGUCCAUCUGGACACGCCCAAAUCCGCCCAGCCCGUCUAAUUGACAUCCCUACUAUGACACACUGAAAAUGACCCAACGUACUCUCACAACGUCUAACUGUACUAUACAUAAUUCUUGAUGUUUAUGUUAAUAAGGCCACCAUUUUUUGUGACAUUUUCAGAAAACUGUUGUUAGAAGAAGCUAAAGUUAUAAUGUUAUGUAAUUAAAAAAAAAAAGGUAUAAAAUAAUAAAGUUUGUUAAUUCUCACAAAAUCUAGUUUAAUAGUAGAGAUUAGUAUCAAACUUACAUUGACAUUAAUGUAUAUUCUGUAAACUAGUAGUAUCUUUUUGUACCAAAUAACUGUUACAAAUUUGACACUUUCAUAAAAGGAAAAACGUUUCUUAGGUACAUAGACUGACUAUAGGGUAAUGUAUAUGAAAUCAUACAAAGUAUUAAAAUGUACUAGCAAUGACACCAACUGAUCUAAAUUAUAUCGAUUUCACCGUUCGGUGUGUAAUCAAAUCUAUUUUAAAGUUGCUGUGGGGCUAAAUGAAAAUUUAAGAAAAAUUAAUCUGAUACAAGAGAAAAAAAAACUGGAUUUGUGCCCUAUGUAAAGGCCACCCUUUUGUUUCAUGUUGUUCGCAUCAAAUUUUCUUUUCUUCUCAGAAACAAAAUCACAAAUAUGGUGAAGAUAUAUUUUACUAGGGUUGAGCCCGCUACGAGCGGGUGAGCAAGUGAAAAAAUAUAAAAAAUUUUAAAUUCUUAUAUACGUUUUACUCAGCUUAAAUUAAUAUUUACCGUUGCUUUUUUUUUGUUAGAAAUGAUAUACCCGUAUAGUCAAUAAAAAAAUCUUUUUAAUUUAUACAACUAUUAUAAUUGUAAUAUUAAGAUUUGAGGAAUAUUUGCUUCACAUUUUGAACUGGUAAAAUUUAGUUUUGUUUACUUGACGGGAAAAAAACUACGAAUUUGUUCUGUAAUUAUGAAACAAUAUAUUAGAGUGACCGCAAUAACAUAGCAGAGAAUUUAAGAACCUAUGAAUCGACCGAACAAAAAUAAAAUUUAAUUGCAUAGCUCCUGAGUAAUUGAAAGUUUGUGUAGGAGUGUGUUAUGUGAUUGUUUUAUCCUCGUAAUGUAUUACUAAUACGUAAGAACAAUGUUUAUUUUUUUGUGAAUAUGCAUUUGGCAUCAGUCCAUCCUACACUAAUUGCUUACUAAUUGAUUAUUUUUGUUUGGAAAGGGUAAUGGGUUUGCAAACUGGAUGUCUUACGCUAGAACAACCAAUGACAUAAAACUUUCAAAUUAGUGAGAUUUGUUAAUGUAAAAUCUAAAAACAAUGUUUGGUUUUUGUAUAUAUGCAUUUCGAAUCAGUCCAUCGUCUCCACUAAUUGCUUAAUAUUUGAUUAUGGUUUGCUAGGGAAAAAAGUCUUUUUGGCAAACAUGACGCCUUAUUUUUUAACUGAAGAAGUCUGAUAUGGUAGAGUUUAAAAAACCCAAGAAAACCACUGACAUAAGAGUUUUGAAGUAGUCGGACUUGAUAAUGUCUGGAAAUGCAAUGUAAACGUCAUCAUGUCUUGUAACUUUGGUUCCUUCUUUCCAAAGCAACCAUCUUCCUUAACUGAGUAGGUGCCUUCUUUCCAGAGCAACCAUCUUCCUUAACUGGUGACUCCUCCCCUCUCCCUUCCAUUAACAGAGUUGUGACCUGGAGCAGUUGCAACAGCUAGUCCACCUUCAACUGCUUCAUCGCCAAAACAGCUACCAUGAUCUACGGGGGUUAUCUUAACUCGGGGAAUGUGGCUCCUUUUGACUGCUCCAGCACCUUACAUAUAAUCUCCCAGAUUGUUAUUGCCACCCUGUCAAAGUGCAUCCUAAUCUUUAAUUACCGACGUAGUAAAGUUGCACUUGACUAAAGUUUGUACAAAACAUAAUAGAACCUCAAAAUUAAACUGCGGUGGACGUGCUUGGUUCCUAAAAUUCGGGAAACAGUGAAGCUCUAAUGGUUUGCAGUCAAGUUGAAAUGGGAUAGGUUAAAUUGGAAGGUUAAAGUGCUCUCAACAAUAUCUUCUGACUUAUGUGAUGUCCAGUUUCUUAUUCUCAUUGGAGAUCGGCGAAAAACUUGCAAGUGUUAUUGCACGAUUCUGGUGGAGUUCAAACCCCCCCAAAGCGUGGAUUUCAUUGGAAAAAUGGGAAAAGUUGUGUUUAUCAAGAGAAGAGGGAUGCAUUGGUUUUAGGAUGAUACAAGAGUUUAAUGUCGUUUGCUGGCGAAACAGUUGUGGAGAUUGAUACAAUUUCUAGACUCUCUUAUGGCCCGUGUUUUGCGUGGCAAUUAUUAUACACUUAGUUCCAAGGGCAAAUCUCCAAAAUAGCACAUUUCUAAUUUAUGUCACAAAAAUAGCAUUCAAAAACUAAAAUGACCAAAAAGCAUCUUAUCUUUUGAAAAAUUUAAAAUUUUU